GACGAACGCUGGCGGCGUGCUUAACACAUGCAAGUCGAACGGAAAGGCCCUGCUUUUGUGGGGUGCUCGAGUGGCGAACGGGUGAGUAACACGUGAGUAACCUGCCCUUGACUUUGGGAUAACUUCAGGAAACUGGGGCUAAUACCGGAUAGGAGCUCCUGCUGCAUGGUGGGGGUUGGAAAGUUUCGGCGGUUGGGGAUGGACUCGCGGCUUAUCAGCUUGUUGGUGGGGUAGUGGCUUACCAAGGCUUUGACGGGUAGCCGGCCUGAGGAGGUGACCGGCCACAUUGGGACUGGGAUACGGCCCAGAAUCGUACGGGAGGCAGAAGUGGCGAAUAUUGCACAAUGGGCGGAUGCCUGAUGCAGCAACCCCGAGUGCGGGAUGACGGCCUUCGGGUUGUAAACCGCUUUCGCCUGUGACGAAGCGUGAGCGACGGUAAUGGGUAAAGAAGCACCGGCUAACUACGUG
rnacentral:rRNA from 1 species